rnacentral:rRNA from 1 species
GAGUUUGAUCCUGGCUCAGGACGAACNCUGGCGGCGCGCUUAAUACAUGCAAGUCGAGCGAGAACCAGGGCUUCGGCCCUGGGGACAGCGGCGAACGGGUGAGUAACACGUGGGUAAUCAACCCCCGACACCGGGAUAGCCCAGGGAAACUUGGAUUAAUACCGGAUGCUCCGUCUGGCCUUCGGGCCGGCCGGAAAAGGGUAGCUUCGGCCUCCGGUCGGGGACGAGCCCGCGGCGGAUUAGCUUGUUGGUGAGGUAAAGGCUCACCAAGGCGACGAUCCGUAGCUGGUCUGAGAGGACGAUCAGCCACACUGGGACUGAGACACGGCCCAGACUCCUACGGGAGGCAGCAGUAGGGAAUCUUGCGCAAUGCGCGAAAGCGUGACGCAGCGACGCCGCGUGGGGGAAGACGGCCUUAGGGUUGUAAACCCCUUUCAGGAGGGACGAAGGUUCACCGGUGAAUAGCCGUGUGGAUUGACGGUACCUCCACAAGAAGCACCGGC